AUCUUUUGAUUGGUUCCUAAGCAUCAUCAUUGGGUGUCCACGUAUUUUCAUGGCAUGUGCCUCCCACGAAGCUUGUGACGAUGUUGGCACAUUACCUGUCAUGACG